CCAAAUUGUCAUUCUCUUUCUUUAAUUUGUCAUCUUCUUUGCCUCCAAAAUUUUUUCCCCAAAAUUAUUCAUUCCCUCCCUUUGUGCAUCUGCUUAUUUGGCUCAAACCUAAUUCUAAUUCUUCAAUUGAUGGACAUAUAUGUACCGACAUUUACCAGCCAAUGACUGGCUUCUUUUAAAUCCAUCCACCUCGACCUCCCCAUUGAAGAUCCUGAACGAGAAGCGUAUAGGAGUAGGGCAAUUGAUGUUAAUAUUCUGGGCAGUGGUGUGAUUGUUGGUCGUGAACGUUUCUGGCGAAACCCGGGUUUUAUGUCGAGGAUAUCUUUGUGCGGGAAUGUUACAGAAGGAAGGUGCUGGGGAAGAUGCUGUUGUCCGCAGUUGUAUCGCAGGCUGCAAAGAUGGGGUACGGGAGAGUGGAAUGGGUGGUGCUGGAUUGGAAUGUGAAUGCCAUUAAGUUUUACGAGCAGAUGGGAGCCCAGAUAUUCCCAGAUUGGAGAAUUUGGCGACUCACUGGUGAUGCCCUUCAGGCUUAUGCUAAUAUUAACUUUUGAUUUGACCAUAGUUAAUCCUUAUUUCCAUGACUAUUACUGGAGGAUUUUAUCCAUUUCUUGGUAUUUUUUUGAUUUGGAUAAGGAAAAGUAUGUUGUACUCCGCUGGUUAUGAUUGGGCAAUUUAUUAACCGGAUUACUUUUGACUGUUGAGUAAUUGGUUGGAUUGCAAUGUUUUGUUCUCUUUUAUUGCUGAAAUCUGAAUAUAAGAUAAGUACAUGACUAUUGCAAGUGUCGCUAGGAAUGGCUGUAAUGGGAAUGAUUGAAUGAGUUUGCUAUAUUAUGCAUGAGAUGUUGG
rnacentral:lncRNA from 1 species